CCUACGGGAGGCAGCAGUGGGGAAUAUUGCACAAUGGGCGAAAGCCUGAUGCAGCAACGCCGCGUGAAGGAAGAAGGGUUUCGGCUCGUAAACUUCUAUUUACAGGGACGAAAGAAAUGACGGUACCUGCAUAAGAAGCCCCGGCUAACUACGUGCCAGCAGCCGCGGUAAUCCGGAGGCGGCAAGCGUUAUCCGGAAUUACUGGGUGUAAAGGGUGAGUAGGCGGGAUGGUAAGCCAGAUGUGAAAGCCUUGGGCUUAACCCGAGGAUUGCAUUUGGUACUAGCAGGCUAGAGUACAGGUGAGGAAGGCGGAAUUCGUAGUGUAGCGGUGAAAUGCGUAGAUAUUAGGAAGAACACCGGUGGCGAAGGCGGCUUUCUGGACUGAAACUGACGUUGAGGCACGAAAGCGUGGGGAGCGAACAGGAUUAGAUACCCCUGUAGUC
rnacentral:rRNA from 1 species